rnacentral:rRNA from 1 species
UACGUAGGGGGCAAGCGUUAUCCGGAUUUACUGGGUGUAAAGGGUGCGUAGGCGGCUCUGCAAGUCAGAAGUGAAAUCUAUGGGCUUAACCCAUAAACUGCUUUUGAAACUGUGGAGCUUGAGUGAAGUAGAGGUAGGCGGAAUUCCCGGUGUAGCGGUGAAAUGCGUAGAGAUCGGGAGGAACACCAGUGGCGAAGGCGGCCUACUGGGCUUUAACCGACGCUGAGGCACGAAAGCGUGGGUAGCAAACAGG